GUUUGCAAUUAUCUCAUCACGUCUGCAGGAGAAGAAGUCUUCCACCCGAGACUUCAUGUGUCAUCUAAAUGAGCAUAAUUGUCGUGUUCCAGUCGCAAAGUUGUGGUGGUCGUAUUUCCCAGGAUGCAAAAGGGACGGCAGGAAGCAGCGUGCAGUAUCGACACCCCCGCUUGCCGUCCUCGCUGCCAUGGUUGCGGGCUCCGGCGCGAGCGGACGGCGAGUCGACACUCUGAAUAUCAAGCGGCUGAUUGCUUCUGUCACCCGGUGAACUGGGUCUCGCCAGAUGUGCUUGUCGGUCGGCGUCAGCAGCGGGGAUUUGUCCCCUGGGCGGACCGGCGUUUGUAAGGUUGGACAGACGGUCCAGAAACGGGAGGGAGGAGGCCGUCCUGCCACUCAUGUUGUCUUUUCCUCUUUUCGUCACUGUCGAGGGGACCGCCGAUGCCAGCGUCAGGCGGCUGCAGAGGCUCCUAUGUCAACCUAAACA